rnacentral:tRNA from 1 species
GGGCGGCUAGCUCAGCGGGAGAGCACUGCCUUCACACGGCAGGGGUCACAGGUUCGAACCCUGUGCCGCCCACCA